UAUUCAGUGAAAUAGGAUAUCAGGAUAUCAUUGGUCAGAAAACUUUACACUUUUUAUUAUCUCAGGGAUUUAAAAAAUUUUUCAGUUAUUCUAGGUACUUGGGAUAGAUCAGUUGAACAAAACAGACAAAAAAUCCAUCUUCUAUUGGGGAAGACAGACACAAAAAGAUAAACAUACCAAAUAAUAAAUUGUAAAGAUUGUUGCAAAGUUUGAAGCGUCAUGGGAAGAAUAGAAAAAGAGUGAAUUAGGAAGAAUUGAGAGUUGGGAUUGGGGCAAUUGGUCAGGCCAAGCAUCACUGUUAAGGUAAGAUUUGAGCAAGGAGUUAAAAGAGGUGAAGGUGAACACUGGGAAAGAAUGUUCCUGGCAGAAGGAAUGGCUCUUGAAAAUGUCCUAAGCAGUAGUCUAGUCUGCAAUAUUGAAGCGACAACGGGCAGUUGGAGUUGAAGUCAGAGAGGUAAAGGGACAGGGCAAUUCCAGGGCUUCGUAGGUCACUGUGAAGACCUUAGCUUUUAUAAAGAAUGAAAUAGGAACCCACUGGAGGAUUUUGACCAGAUGAGACAGGAGCUGACUUUUCUUGUAAGAGGAUAUUCUUGCUGUUGUUUUGACAGUAGGCUGAGUUAACGGUGAGCACGGAGACCAUUUAGUACGCCACUGAAGUAUAAUCCAGCCCAGAGAAGAUGGAAGUAAUGCAGGUAAGAAGUGGUCUGAUUCUGAUUUAUUUUGAAGGUACAACCAACAGGCUUGCUUGACAGGUUGGAGGUGAAGAUGAGAGAAUGGGAGGAGGCAAGGACGACUCCAAAGUUUUUGGCCUGAGCAACUCAUUAGAAAGACUGUGUUAUGGUGUUGAGUUGCUUUUUAAGCAAGGGAGAACUCUAAACUUAGGGAAAAAAGAAAACUAAUGUUGCACUAAUAACGUUGCACUAAUAUAAGACGUAUAUUAGUAUAUCCCAAGUAUUGUAGGCUUGAAAACUUAUUGUAGGGAUUUUGGUGGAGUGCUGGCUGCUAGAUAGGGGCACUCACAUGUUUCUGAUUUCUGGGAUAUAUAAAACAUACACCUAAAGGAGUCUCAGAGAUCCAGUAGACGAGUCAUUUCACACAUUUCAAAUGCCAGGUGGAUGUUCUCGGCCGUAAGCCAGUUAAUGAGGGUUCAACUACUCUGACGUUCACAUUUAAAAAAAGCGGUGGUCCGAUGAUUUCAGCGCAUCUGUCUCUCAGCUGCAGCCAACUGAGCGAUGCCUGGUCCGACGGCUCAGCACUCACCCUCGCUCGCCCGGGAGCGUCCGCGGCCCCACUGCGAGCGCAGGCACCGCCCCACCGCUUGGUCCGGGAAGGGGGCGCGAGCCGCCGCCGCCUGCUGCCCGGCGGAGGCGGGGAGGGGCUCCUGCGCGCUCCCCCUCAGCCCCGGUCGCCAUCUUCCGGCGCGUCCUUUCCCGCGCGGGCUCCUGCCCCGGCUCUAGGCUCUCCGCUCGCCUCGGAGAGGCUUCCCGGCCGGCACGGCUCUAGCGCGCGGCGCGGCGCGGGGCUCCAGGGCAGAGCCCACCCGGAGGCGGGGCCGGGGGCGGGGCCGGCGCGGCGGCGCGGCCCUCCCGCCGCUCCCGGAGAGCGCGCCGCCCCUCGCCCCGCCCGCGCGCGAGCCUGGGCGGGGAGGGCGGGGCCAGGAAGCGGCGAGCGCGCCGGGGAGCGCAGCUGCGGGAGUGGGGGCGGCAGGAGCCGCGGAGCCGGCGCCGAGGGCGGCAGCGGCCGGAGCAGGCGGCCGAGACAAAGGCGACGAAAAGGCGCCGGCGGAUUGACCGAAGUAUGAUUGGAGAGCCAACCAACUUUGUACAUACUGCUCACGUGGGAUCCGGAGAUCUGUUCAGCGGAAUGAAUUCAGUUAGCUCCAUUCAGAACCAGAUGCAGUCCAAGGGCGGCUACGGGGGCGGGAUGUCUGCUGCCAACGUGCAGAUGCAGCUUGUGGACACGAAGGCAGGAUAGCCCCCGGGUCCCUUCUCUGAGAAGUGUGACGGCGUCUUGUUCACCCCGUUGUGAUUACUCCAGUGAGACAUUUCUGUUCUGCUCCGAAGCAGCUAUUGCCAGGCGACUCCUGCGUUUUCCUCAGCUGGCGUGCAUGCCUUUGGACUCAUGGACAGAGUUCUUUGGAUUGCGGCAUAGUUUUCAAUUUUUAUCACUAUGGAUCUGAUCUUAGCAUGAUCUUUUUGUGAAUGCAGCACUAUUAUUUUUUCGUUUCUCCUUCCACCUCCAACCCUCUGCCUUAUGAUUUUCUUGGUAAGCAAGGACCUGCUAUUGUGUUAAUUUGUCACCGUUUAUGUAUAUUUGGAAGGUAUGAGACCCACAAGCACAAUGAUCAUUUUUAUUCAUUUGAAACUUCAAGCAGAGUAGAUAUCUGCAUGCUUUAUGAAGUUGCUUCGUGUGGGAGCCCAUGGGAUGCAGGAGUGAGCGUUUCUUUGCUGCCGUGGGUUGACGAUACUGCUGCUAUUAGAGAAGGGUUAGCUGUGGCACCAAGUCACAUCAGUUCUACAGAAAGCUAACUGGUAGCUUAUUUUAGAAGUAUAACUUUUUCAUCUAUUACAAUAAAAGAAAAGCUUGCGUUCAUAAGGCCUUCAUUCUGUUGUAAAUGUUCAGUAUAUUUAUUUUGAGAGCAAGGACCUGUGAUUAUAAACAGGUAUGGUAUGUAUCUGAGUGUUGCGGUGAUACGCUCAUCCAGUCUGAUUCUGAGCAUCAUCAUCUUAGUAACUGUUCGUUUCUUUGUGUACUCAUUCUAUUUUUACUUGUUUUUAUUUUGUGUUUAACAUUAUGGUAUCCAGUUGUUUCCAGUAACAGUUUGUUGAACUUCUGGCCUGUACUACUAACUGCAGACUCCAGAGUCCUUGGGCUGUCCAUAUUCUACAUAUUUUGGGGCAAUGGAAGUUGCCAAGAGCAACACACUGACCUGGCUGAAUCGUUGCCAGGGAAAAUAACCUGUAUCGUGACUUUUUAUGGUAUUGAUAAGAAACCUUUGCUCAGGUUCCAAAAUAUGUUUAUUCUUCACAAACUGUGUGUAUUUCAGAUAUUUCUGUAAAUGCUUCUCCUUCCCCUAAGGGUCUAGUGUUAAGCCAGUUAGUGGUCUGUAUUCUCAUGGAAAGGUUUCAAUCUUAUUUCCAAUUCAGUCCUGUCUAACUAUAUUCGGUAGAAUUAACAUUUCAUGUAGCAGAUGGGGCUUAAUUGAAAACUUACUUAGAGAACUAUAAGGAAUUAGGUAAUUGAAUAAAGAAAUUUUCUCUUCUUUUACCCCUUUCCCCUGACCUUAGUCCCAGGUUCUUGUGAGAAAGGUAACUGAAUAAAUAUUAGGUUUAUGCGGGCAAAACAUAAAAGCAUUUCCCCCCUAAUUCUUUUGAAUUUAAUUUCAUUUACCCGGUAGGGUGGUGCACUAGAUUGCUCAAUCCUUGUAUUUCUGCAAUGUUGAGCCUUCCUGGGUGUCAAUCCUGAACAGACACAUAAUCUGUCAAGGAGAAAUAUUUAUGCUUAGUAAUCAAAAUAGGCAAUAACUUCUAAAAUUUAAUUCAUCUAGUGUCAUUAAUUCACUGUGUGGAUAUUGGACUCUGGAAUUUGCCUGAGUACAUUGUCAUUCUGCUCAGCCAGAGUCAGUGCUCCUCAAAAGACAGAUUGGAUUUUCUAGGCAUUGUCAGCACUGAUGCUCUUUAGUCUACUUCUAUUUUGACUUUUAAAAUUAGUACAAGUUUUAUACUUGUCAUAUAACUCCUAGAACAAUAGGUCCCUUUUCCCCAACUCAUGAUUUGAUUUUAUUCUUUUUUUCCAAUCACUGUCUUUUCUGCUUCUACCAAGGACCAAAUACUCCAGUGAGCUGCUGGAGCAUCUCUCCAUGGUAAGCCAAAGGCUGCCCUGUGCAGCCACCACUGACCUCACAGUAGCCACACUGUGUACACAGCACAUGCCAAGGGAGGUGCCAAGAAAUUCAAGAAAUAAGAAAAUUACAAAAAUCCUAAGAUAGUAACCUUGGACACACGUCUUUUAGGGAGUGUGAAGCAUUCAUAAGUGGGACUCUAAAUCUCGAGAGGUCAUUUGUUCCCCAUAGCAAUGUAUCUCAUUUUAAAAUUGAAGCUAAUUAAAUAAAUAGGAUUGACGGUUAAUACUUUGUUGACAUACAUGCUGACCACUGUUAAGCAAGGGAAACUGAGUGAAGGUUUAAAGUAAGGACAUGGAUUCUGUCUUCAGUGAUAAAAGAGGUGCUUUCCCAUGGUGGGGGCAUGAAGUGGUGCCAAUAACCAUCGAGCGGAAAUGUCAGCUGUGGUGACUGGGUUUAGCAUUUCCAAUGCAGCAUUAUCAGUGGGCCUUUAAAGAUACUUUGGGAGGAUAUUAGCUUUCACUUUUGUUAUUAAAUUAUAGCAGUUUCAUUAUGGAGAGCAAGUUUGCCUUGAUUUUGUUUAAAAUGACGUCUGCUCAGCACCCAGAAGAUAAAUUGACAUAUUUUUAUAAUAUAAGCAUACUUUUUUUGUACAUUGUGUUCAUUCUUGAAUAAAGUAAAUUCAGUGUUGGCUUGUAGAUAUUAAAAAGAAAAUAUUGAUUUUGAUUCAAUAAAUGUUUUCUUUGAAUCCUG